ACAAAGAGGCCUGCCAUGGAAUAAGAAUUUAAUAGUGCUAGGCACUACAUUAGCACCGCAUCUUAUCUCCCGUGAUUCUCAACUCCCACUUUGGGAAGUAAAGGAACGUUCACAGAGGUGAAGUGACUUGCCCAAGACCCCACAGCUGGCUUGCAGUGAGGAGCUCAGAUUUCAAUCCUAUGUCCAGCACCAAAGCGAAUGGCCUGUCCAUCCUGCCAUUUAAAACCCUAAACUCAGUUCCCGUGGCUUCAUCUACUUUCCCUGCCACCAGAAUGGCUAUUUAAUGGAACAGAAACUGGAAUGCACAUUUUAUUUAGGCUUGGGAAGCAGGCAGAACAGAAAAACCUUCUACUGCACAGGGCACCUCCGGAAAUCUCAUUCAGUCUCUAAAAGAAGCAGUAUGUGAGCUGGUUCUUGUCCUGGCACAUCACAACUAAAAGUUAGAAAUGUUCCUGUGAUGUUCAGUGGUACUGAAGUAACCAACAACGGUAAUUUGCAUAUAAGCUGCAAAAAUGUGUAGGGAGAGCAGUUGUCCCAGGUGAGCUGACACCCUGCAUUGACUAUAUUUUUUUCAAUGCAGUGUCAACGACUACUCUCAAAUACUCUUUGCCCCCCAACUCCUGAAAGAGCAUCCACCACCCAGGAAAACACAGGGUUGUGUCCCGGAUCUGCUGGAAGGACAGCCUUGAUGAAGACUAGGAAAUGCUGACUGGGCAGAAAGUUCCAACACUUCCUUUGAGGAAGGCCAAAGGACUGAGGCCUUCUAGGUGCUAGGCACUGGGACCAGAGGAAGGAAGAAGACCAAGUUCCUGCCUCAUGGAGUACAUGCUGUUCAAUCUGCUGGACCGGUCCUGAAAAACAAACCGCCACAAAAGGAAAAAUGCAUCACUGAACAGAAGUCAUUUACCCUUCUGGAAACCACGUAGGCUUCCUUGUUUGGGGCACUCAUCCACGUACCAAACGCUUACUGUCAGAUUCUUCUGUUUUUCACAAAG